rnacentral:rRNA from 1 species
GGCAUCGAGUGAGCGCAGUUUACUGAGUUCACGUCGGCGAGCGGCGGACGGGUGAGUAAAGUCUGGGAAUCUGGCCGAAGGAGGGGGAUAACUGCUGGAAACGGCAGCUAAUACCGCAUGAAGUCGCGAGACCAAAGUGGGGGACCUUCGGGCCUCACGCCGUCGGAUGAGCCCAGAUGAGAUUAGCUGGUAGGUAAGGUAAAGGCUUACCUAGGCGACGAUCUCUAGCGGGUCUGAGAGGAUAGCCCGCCACACUGGAACUGAGACACGGUCCAGACUCCUACGGGAGGCAGCAGUGGGGAAUAUUGCACAAUGGGCGAAAGCCUGAUGCAGCCAUGCCACGUGUGUGAAGAAGGCCUUCGGGUUGUAAAGCACUUUCAGCGAGGAGGAAGCGAUAAAUGCGAAUACCAUUUAUUUUUGACGUUACUCGCAGAAGAAGCACCGGCUAACUCCGUGCCAGCAGCCGCGGUAAUACGGAGGGUGCGAGCGUUAAUCGGAAUAACUGGGCGUAAAGGGCAUGUAGGCGGUGAGCUAAGUCAGAUGUGAAAUCCCCGAGCUCAACUUGGGAAUGGCAUUUGAAACUGGGUCGCUAGAGUUUUCUAGAGGGGGGUAGAAUUCCAGGUGUAGCGGUGAAAUGCGUAGAUAUCUGGAGGAAUACCGGUGGCGAAGGCGGCCCCCUGGAG